rnacentral:piRNA from 1 species
UGCCGACACACAAGUCCUACUGGGGGUGG